rnacentral:rRNA from 1 species
UAGGGAAUCUUCGGCAAUGGACGAAAGUCUGACCGAGCAACGCCGCGUGAGUGAAGAAGGUUUUCGGAUCGUAAAACUCUGUUGUUAGAGAAGAACAAGGACGUUAGUAACUGAACGUCCCCUGACGGUAUCUAACCAGAAAGCCACGGCUAACUACGUGCCAGCAGCCGCGGUAAUACGUAGGUGGCAAGCGUUGUCCGGAUUUAUUGGGCGUAAAGCGAGCGCAGGCGGUUUCUUAAGUCUGAUGUGAAAGCCCCCGGCUCAACCGGGGAGGGUCAUUGGAAACUGGAAGACUUGAGUGCAGAAGAGGAGAGUGGAAUUCCAUGGGUAGCGGUGAAAUGCGUAGAUAUGUGGAGGAACACCAGUGGCGAAGGCGGCUCUCUGGUCUGUAACUGACGCUGAGGCACGAAAGCGUGGGGAGCAAACAGG